AGCGAACGCUGGCGGCAGGCCUAACACAUGCAAGUCGAGCGCCCAGCAAUGGGAGCGGCAGACGGGAGAGUAACACGUGGGAACGUACCCUUCAGUUCGGAACAACCCAGGGAAACUUGGGCUAAUACCGAAUACGUCCGUAAGGAGAAAGAUUUAUCGCUGAAGGAUCGGCCCGCGUCUGAUUAGCUAGUUGGUGAGGUAACGGCACACCAAGGCGACGAUCAGUAGCUGGUCUGAGAGGAUGAUCAGCCUCACUGGGACUGAGACACGGCCCAGACUCCUACGGGAGGCAGCAGUGGGGAAUAUUGGACAAUGGGCGCAAGCCUGAUCCAGCCAUGCCGCGUGGAUGAUGAAGGCCCUAGGGUUGUAAAGUCCUUUCGACGGGGAAGAUAAUGACGGUACCCGUAGAAGAAGCCCCGGCUAACUUCGUGCCAGCCGCCGCGGUAACAC
rnacentral:rRNA from 1 species